UAUUCCGCGAGGGGGUUUGGGUCCUUGUCACCUUUUUCAUCCCUGAUGAGUUUGCACCCCUGAAAAUAUAGUGGAGCAGCCUUUAAAGUGCGUAUUGGAAGUUAAUUUUUUUUUUAAUAUUUAUACAUAACAUUCUCUGAAAAUUGCCCUUUGAAAUUGAAAUGCAGGAUUUUAUCAGUUAAAAAUAUUAUAUCGGCAAAAAUUCCAGUUUUAAAGUGACUAUUUUGAGCAAGGCUUCAAAAACCAUUGUUUUUUUAUGUGAUACGUCAAACGCGUCAUAUUACGUAGGAAUUGGUAGACGCGGUCGCUGUUGCUGCCUCAGCUCUAUGUAGUUGUGAGUAGUUACCGCGGUGAGCGGUCUUGUAUUCACCCCCCCUGUGGUUUUGGGGUUUUUCUAAUCGGUGAGAUGAGGUUUUGUAUCUGUGGGGGUUGUUCCAACUCCGACCUCCUGUCCGACCAUCUCAGAUUUCACAGUUUCCCCGAUCGGAGAAAGGAUGGAGCAGCCUUUCGAGCCUGGGUGCAUUUUGUACAGGUGAAGAGAAAGGACUUUCUUUUCGCCUCUGUCACCAAAUACUCGUUCAUUUGCGCGGCUCACUUUAGACCAGAGGACUAUGUUUCCGGGGACAUGAUGGAGUUCAAGAUGGGUUUUCGGAGCGAGAAACGAGUGAGGCUGAAAGCCGGUGUGGUUCCCUCAAUUCAUGCCGCUCCAGCCGCAGCUUCGGGCUCAGCCACCGGCGGCAGUGAAGAUCAUGGACCGGUCAGAGAUUCAACGAUUCGGAAACGUGAACUGUGCACUGUAAGUUUUGUUUUCUGACGUUUACUAACUUCCUACAUUAGUCAACAUAAUGACUUAUGGUCAGUAUCUUUUAUUGUAAAGCAGCUUUGCUGUCUUGUAAAAUCCAUCAGUUUAUACUGUAAACAUGCUAAAAUGUUAGCUAGCAACAGCAUCCUAUUUUAUGAAACUUUUAUGAAAUCAUCGUCAUUAAGUUACCUGUUUAGCCGUUAACCGUCGACUAGAACAUAAAGCAAUUUAACUAUUCAAAAUGUUAUAAAACAACUUUAAAAUAAUACAAAUUAAUUAAAUAUAUAUGGGAUAGGGGGUGAGUCAGCGAUUUUUUGGCUAGGUGAUUGACACUGACAGGCUGACGCCAUGAUGAUGCUCCUUUGAGACGACUAUGGAACUCCUAAAAAAGCUAAUUUCUUGUGGUUAAAACGUUAUUCAGAGACAGUUUCCGAGGCUGUUCACUUUGUUGGAGCGGUAUUUGUGCUUUCCUGAACAUCAGGCACUAGGCUACCACAUGAGCGGUUUUUCAACGUCAGUGCGCACCGUGCGCACUAGACUGCCUGUCGAUAUGUUGCCGUUUCUAAAUAAACUAGUAGACUAUCAGGCUAUCGGCUAUCAGGGAUUUUAAAAAGUUUGAAAUGAAAUAGUAUAUGUAAUGUUUUUCUUAUUAGUUGCUGGGAAAUACGGCACGUUUUGAAGCCACAGAUGCGCCUACAGCCAGUGAAGACUCGGAGCAAGAGGCCGUCGCUUCCCUGGCUUCUCAGCCAAAAUCUGUGCUUCACUUUGGCUCACAGUGUCACAUAAGACCUCCUUAUCGUUCAUCAGCUAUCCAGGUACAGACACAGACGGUCAGUGUGGGGACACAGACCGAACUCUGUGUAUCAUCAAUUCCACUGCCCAGUCCAGUACAAACAGAGGAUGAAUCAUCCUCUGUUUCAAGAGAUCAACCAGAUGACAGGUCAUGGAGUGAAGUGGAAGAGAUGAGCGUGUCAUCUUCUGAGGAGGAGUCAGAGCCACAGCAGGGUUCUCAGUGGGACUUCGGAGUUGCAGACAAGUUCAUUGUCUGUCUCACCCAGCUGAUGGCUCUCUUCACCAUUUGUCCUGCCUGUUGUGGGGAAACCCAUGGUAACGUGGAGCAGCAGCAGGGAACAUUUGUUCAGAUCAAGCAAGUAAGAGGAUAUUGUACUCAUAUAAAAGUAAAGAUGUGUGCUAACCUGUAUUUAUAUUGUAUAUAUUGUGU